rfam:Streptomyces nodosus strain ATCC 14899 genome.
CUUCACGGAGCCGAGCAGCAGCGGCCGGUCCUCCGGGCGGUUCUGCCCGUAGGUGGCGAGCAGGGCCUGAGCCUC